rnacentral:tRNA from 1 species
GGGGUUGUGAGUUAGUUUGGUUUAUACGACGGGGUUUGGAUCCCUGUAGACAUUGGUUCAAGUCUAAUCAACCCCA